rnacentral:rRNA from 1 species
GACGAACGCUGGCGGCGUGCUUAACACAUGCAAGUCGAACGGAAAGGCCCUGCUUUUGUGGGGUGCUCGAGUGGCGAACGGGUGAGUAACACGUGAGUAACCUGCCCUUGACUUUGGGAUAACUUCAGGAAACUGGGGCUAAUACCGGAUAGGAGCUCCUGCUGCAUGGUGGGGGUUGGAAAGUUUCGGCGGUUGGGGAUGGACUCGCGGCUUAUCAGCUUGUUGGUGGGGUAGUGGCUACCAAGGCUUUGACGGGUAGCCGGCCUGAGAGGGUGACCGGCCACAUUGGGACUGAGAUACGGCCCAGACUCCUACGGGAGGCAGCAUG